rnacentral:rRNA from 1 species
AUUGAACGCUGGCGGCAGGCCUAACACAUGCAAGUCGAGCGAGAGGCGGACGGGUGAGUAAUGUAUGGGGAUCUGACCGAUGGAGGGGGAUAAAUAAUGGGAACGGUGGCUAAUACCGCACACUAUCGGAUGAGUCAAUAUGGGAUUAGCUAGUUGGUGGGGUAACGGCUCACCAGGGCGACUACCCGUAGCUGGUCUGAGAGGAUGAUCAGCCACACUGGAACUGAGACACGGCCCAGACUCCUACGGGAGGCAGCAGUGGGGAAUAUUGGACAAUGGGCGAAAGCCUGAUGCAGCCAUGCCGCGUGUAUGAAGAAGGCCUUAGGGUUGUAAAGUACUUUCAGCGGGGAGGCGUUACCCGCAGAAGAAGCACCGGCUAACUCCGUGCCAGCAGCCGCGGUAAUUC